AGACAUGCAGUCGAACGAACUUAAUACCUUGCUUGCAAGGUAAGCGGUUAGUGGCGCACUGGUGAGUAACACGUAAGAAAUCUGCCUAUCAGAGGGGAAUAACAGUGAGAAAUCAUUGCUAAUACCGCAUAUGCCAUAGUUAUCGCAUGAUAAUAGUGGGAAAGGAGUAAUCCGCUGAUAGAUGAGCUUGCGUCUGAUUAGCUAGUUGGUGGGGUAAAGGCCUACCAAGGCGACGAUCAGUAGCCGGACUGAGAGGUUGAACGGCCACAUUGGGACUGAGAUACGGCCCAGACUCCUACGGGAGGCAGCAGUCGGGAAUAUUGCGCAAUGGAGGGAACUCUGACGCAGUGACGCCGCGUAUAGGAAGAAGGUUUUCGGAUUGUAAACUAUUGUCCACAGGGAAGAAAAAAGACUGUACCUGUGAAGAAAGCUCCGGCUAACUACGUGCCAGCAGCCGCGGUAAUACGUAGGGAGCAAGCGUUAUCCGGAAUUAUUGGGUGUAAAGGGUGCGUAGACGGGAUAACAAGUUAGUUGUGAAACCCCUCGGCUCAACUGAGGAACUGCAACUAAAACUAUUAUUCUUGAGUGCAGGAGAGGAAAGUGGAAUUCCUAGUGUAGCGGUGAAAUGCGUAGAUAUUAGGAAGAACGCCGGUGGCGAAGGCGACUUUCUGGACUGUAACUGACGUUGAGGCACGAAAGUGUGGGGAGCAAACAGGAUUAGAUACCCUGGUAGUCCAUGCCGUAAACGAUGAGUGCUAAGUGUUGGGAGGUUUCCGCCUCUCAGUGCUGCAGCUAACGCAUUAAGCACUCCGCCUGGGGAGUACGACCGCAAGGUUGAAACUCAAAGGAAUUGACGGGGGCCCGCACAAGCGGUGGAGCAUGUGGUUUAAUUCGAAGCAACGCGAAGAACCUUACCAGGUCUUGACAUCUAGUGCCAUCCUAAGAGAUUAGAGUUCCCUUCGGGACGCUAAGACAGGUGGUGCAUGGCUGUCGUCAGCUC
rnacentral:rRNA from 1 species